UAUUCAUAGGCUUUGUUUGGGAAGGAGAGGAAAGAAAAUAUUGAAGGAAGUGCAGAUCUUUCUUCCUUUGAUAUUUUCUGCACUUCCUUCAAUAUUAAAGGAAGGGAUAAUCCUUCCCAUUGAUUUUCCCUUCACAUAUUUUCAUUCUUCCAAAAUAAUCCUCCUUUCCGAACAAAGGGUUAACACAUGAAUAUGAAGAAAUUUUAUUCUAUUUGCAUGCACUUGGAAAUAUUUGCUUGCAUAUGGUUACUAAAUGUAAUGCAAGUGAGUUUUUGUUCUCCACUCAAUUUUUCUCACAGGAAAAUUUUGAGCAGCAACUUUUCCUCUGGAGUCAUACUGCAUGAAGAGUCUAAUUUUGUGGUGAUCGAUAAUGGAAUUGUUCAAGUCACUCUAUCCAAGCCAGGUGGUUUUGUCACUGGAAUAAAAUAUAAUUGAU